rnacentral:tRNA from 2 species
GAGGCCUUAGUUUAAGGAAAAUAUCUAAGUUGCAUAAAGAUGAUGUAGGAGAUGGUCCUGUAGGUCUUU